rnacentral:tRNA from 1 species
GCCUGGGUGGCUCAGUUGGUUAAGCGUCUGACUUCAGCUCAGGUUAUGAUCUCAUGGCUUGUAGGUUGGAGCCCUGUGUCAGGCU